GGUUGGAUUAAAUGAAGCUGAUAGGAUCUGAAAUAGAGUUAUAUGACGUUCCUCUUAAUAAAUGCAGGAGGAAUACAUGGUAGAGCUAGAGAGAGUUAAAGCAUGGCUUACCCUUGAACUUGGCAGAGUAAUGAAUGAAGGGAAUAAGGUGGAAGAAAUGUAGCCGAAGUUUACCUUGAAGUGGCAGAGCACUGGAUGAAGGUCCCUGCUUCUCCAAAAGCUUCUAAGUGUAAAAAUGAGGAGAGUGGUGAAUUGGGACUGAAGUGUUCUCCAAAAGCUUCUAAGUGUAAAAAUGAGGAGAGUGGUGAAUUGGGACUGAAGUGUGAGACUAAAGGAGAAGCUCUUGCUACACACUUGAGUGUGCUAGUAUAAGCUGCAGAGAUAGGGUGGCUGAGUAUGGGGUGGAUUGGAUGGGGGCAGACAUAGGGAAGGUGGCUGAAUGACUGCACACUUGAUGUGCUAGCCAAAAAGGUGCAAAAAUAGGGUGGCUGGAGUAGGAGGAAGGAGUGCAGUGGUGAGGCAGCCCACGUUUCCUUUUAUUUUCUUCCCUUUGUUUACUUGCUAGAUUAUGGUGUAAUUAGGAAUAUAGAAUGGGAGUUGAUUGUGAGUAAAAGUUGUAAGGUAUGAGAAUGAGAUUGUGGUGAAUAAAUGAAGUAUAUUCCUAUGUC